CAUAAAGAAAGAAAUUUUCCGACGUUUCCGUGUUGACAUUGACUAUAUCAACACGGCUCUUAGCCAAUCAGCGUUGAGAAUUUACAAAUGCUAUAUUAUAAUGUCAGAUAAAACACUGCUGCUCAUGUUUUAAAUGGUACAUAAAUGGGAUGUUGUCUCUAACUUUUCAAUUUAUUUUUUAAAAUGUAGUAUACUUGGAAAUGUUUCUUGACUUUAGACAGACCCUAAUAUAUUAAGGCCUUAUUCUGUCGUGCAAGCUCUCAGAAAUGAAUUAUUAUAUAUCCUGGAACAAAGUUUUUUUGUCUCUAUAUAUAGCUUGUGGAAGGUACUGGAUAAACAUUUUCCGUGAUGAUGAUGAAGACGAGUACAAUAAAGGUAAUUAAAGCCCAGCACUGCAAGAUGACGGCUGUUAAAAACGGC